GAGCAUUUGCAGAUUCUGUUUCUCCUGCCUGCAGAAAGGGUGGGUGUGGCCAAGUUCAUCUCCAGCUUCGGAAAGGCUUGGUGCCAGAAGCCCUCACUUUGCCCUUCUCAAGUGGGCUGAAGACCAUGUUGCACCCUGGACCUCACUCUCUUGCACUUUGCGUUAGCCGGUUAUGCCUGAGCAAACUCUCCUGGAGGAAGCUGGAAGCCAGGUUCUAGCAGAGGCUUGUACAGAAGAGGAAAGUCCUUAGAAGAAAGAGAGAAGAACAAAAGACAAAUUCCUUAAAGAAAGAGAGAAGAACUAAAGGAUACAAGGGCAAUCGGAACUGGUAACCUAAGGAAGUGCAUAGUGAGGCAGGAAUGGGCACAGCACUUCAGAACUUGCAAGGUCCUUCCCACCCUCCACUCCCAGCCAGCUCCUCCCCACCCCAUGUGGCCUGAAGGGCUGGGAUGAGGAAGGAAGAUACAAGACUGCGGGAGUUACAUGACUUGCUGUAAGCCACCCAUUUACUCCUUGAAAGGUCUGAGCUUGCAAUUCAAGGUCUUCACUGUACAGGCAGCCAAUCCCCAUUGCACUCAUAUUCCCAUCAUUCCUCCCUCCACUCCCCUGCUCGGAGGCUUCCUCCCUCAGUGGCUUGUGCAGCGCCUGCCUUGGCUACCACCCUAUGGCAUUGCUCACAUCUCCUCUGCUCUCUUCCUAGUAAUGUAACUAGCUGUCUGUUUCUAUUUGCUGGGAACUCUGAGGGGUGUAACAAUCUUUAAUCAUCAGAACAACUUUACGAAGACCACCCUGAAGUGCAGAAGGAUAAUGCUCCUGGCUUGUAUCACAGAGCUAGUAAACGACCAAACCAGAAUUUGGUCUGAAUCCUGAGAUCGUUCUCUUACUUGUAAGCUACACACUUUCAUGUACUGAAAGAGAGGUAGCUUUGGUUUGUGACUUUAUAAAGCAAGGACCCAUCCCAUUUGUACAAAUGGUACAAAUUUAGGUACCAUUUUUCUGGAGAUGCAGGAUUUGGACCAGAUGGGGAGAGGAAAGAGCAAGCAAGGUUCUGUGGUAAGAACAUAUAACAGGUACACAGGUCACAAGACAUGGAGCAGGGCAGGUGUGAAGCACAGGGGAACAUGAGAGGAAAGCCAAGCUCUGGAGGUGAGGGGCCCUGGGAAACCCAUGGAGAAGGAACGCAGAGAUGUACAGCACCAUGAAACUUGGAGGGUCCCAAAGAGUGUUCAGUGAAGAGCUGUAGACUAGAAGGAAGAGAUGGAAGAAGGGAGAAAAGGA
rnacentral:lncRNA from 1 species